AUUUGAGAAAGAUGGAGAACUUUGUAUGGAGGCUAUCUGUGCUCUAUACAGGCAACAAACCUCUGCCAGAAAAUCAAUUUAUGGCACUUCAACUUCUCAAAAUCGAGGUUUUAACAAGUUAGCUGCAACCAGUUGCAUUGGAGAUGUUUCUAUCGAGUUUCAUGUACAAAAGGUGCUGUUUGAUUCGCUGCAAGCCAUGAUCCAGCGUUGCAGAAACUCUUGGUUCUUGGAGAUAAGUUUUGAUGGCUUAAUGUGGUGACAAGGGUGGAAACUAUGUAGGUGUUCAGCAUUAUGACGUUGUAGCCAAGUGGCCCAGUUUGGAAAAUCUUGUCCUCAUUGCGGAAAUCUUUAAGUAAUAGUUCUCACUUGGGUUUCCAAAUUGGAUCCUCUCAUCUAGCCAAAGAAUAGAUUUCAAUCAUUCAAAGAUCUUUUACUGUCAAAUGUCCUUCAAUGCCAUCCUGAACAUGUGAUGUAUGUAGAUCUUGUCUUCUGGAGAAACUGUGUGCAAGGCAAGCAAAAUAACCUCUGGGCCAUGCGGAAAUGGGUGAAAAGAUGCAUCCAGAAGGAGGAACAGAGGAGGAAGGUUCAUGUGCUCAUGCCUUUCUAUUUUUGUCUUAGAGGUUCUCAAGUGCCAUUCAUACCUCAUGCUGGGAAUAACUGAAACAUCGCUGUUGAUUAUCUUGUUUCUACAUUCUAAUAGGCCUUCUUUGGGAAAUUCUGGCUCAUGCAUUGAUAGUUGCAAGUAGAAUGCCAGUUUUUGCCUUGAAUAAAGACUGCUCACUACAUCUUUUCCCUAUAAAUUCAGUUUGCGACCACAAUAAACUGAAUGAGUUUAUAUAUGCAUGCUUAGUUUUAGAGAACGAACUACGUCUUUCAUUGGCUGUACUCAUUGAUGGUGAUAUACUUUUCUCCAGGGGUACUACUUUGGCCGAGUUUCUCAUUGAUGGUGAUCCG
rnacentral:misc_RNA from 1 species